rnacentral:lncRNA from 1 species
AAGGCCCUGGGCUUGCCCUGUGGUGUCAGGGCCAUGACCACCCACCCACACAGGAGCCUGGAGCCUUCCCCCAGUGCCUGCCCUGGCCAGGCCUCCUCUGUAGGUGUGGGUAGGCCUGGGAACCCCGGCCCUGAACAGCCUCAGAGGGCUUCGGUGUUGGAGUGAGCUGGGACCAUAAAACUCACAAGCUCCAAGUUCCCAGGCUCUUUGUCAGCCCACAGAGCCCUGUCACCUCACAGCUAAUGCAGGCAGUGGCCAGCGAUCCCCUGGGAGCGGUUUAAAAGCGCAAGUCUGGUUUUUAGAAAAAGCAGCUGAGGUUAUAGUAAGCAGCUGACAGUUCCCCCACAGCUUCAAGCUGUAAGCAGCAAAGUGAAAGAGGGGAAGGAGCGUCCUGAGUGGCGUUCUCAUAGGAGAGUCAUGUCCACCUGGGAAGCAGGGAGAUUUGGGCAAUCAUCCCACUCUUCCAGGAAGACAGCCAAAACCCCCACUGCCCCACAGUGAUGAUUAAAGUGCACAUUUCAACAGGCUUUGUGACAGACACUCCUGGCGGCAAGGUCUGGGAAAAGGAGGCUGCCAGUAAACCCCCUGCUAGCCUUGUUUUCUCUGAACUUCUGGCCCCAGUGGGAAAGGAAAUUAAAACUUCAUUUUUAAUUUUUAGUUAUGACCCAUUGUGCUGCAGGGUCAUGGCCGGGGGUUUAGAACACCUAGCGGUUUCCUGCUCCUCUCCGUGGAUUGGAAAAUGAGGCUUCGUGAGGCCCACCGUCCCGUGUGGCAUCAUCUGUGGGGCUGACAGCACCUGCCCCCUAGGUCGGUUGUCCCACUCCCACUCAGCACAGCCGCCACGCCAGGCUGCUGGGAGUGUCUGAGCUUCAGAACCCUGUUCUGGAGUGAAUGGAACAUACUCGACACCCUUGGAGCCAAGCAACUGAGAUGGACCAUUUUCAAUAGACUUCAGGGCCCUAUCAGAAAAUGCCAUCAAAUGAUUCCCACUGCUUUGGCCUGAAUACCCCCUCACUCAGCCACUCCUUCUGGCUGCGGCCCCUCCAGCUUCUGCUAGCAAAUGUCCCAUAGAGGGUCAAGGGACACUCCUCCUUCUCCCAGGAAGCUGGCACUUGGGUAUGCAACAACCUGCCUUCAAACGCCAGUGGCGGACCACCCUCGCCCCUGUCUAGUGUCCUUGGCAACCAGCAAGUGCUGAGCCUCCUGUUGGUGCUUCUCCAACCCACCAGUGACUUGGCCCGCAAACCACCUGGAAAAGGAGUCUCCAGAGACCCCGGCGCACAGCAGGCCAGGAGGCAGCUGCCCCGGGAUUCAGAGCAACCUCGGGGCAACCCUCCCUCCUCCAAAGGCUAAUUCUAGAAGAGGCAGGUCCUCUUUCCUUCGAUGUCAAUGUCCAUUAUGAAACAGUAAUUUUUAAAUAUUCAGGUGACACGGAGAUGCGCCUGCUACACGUCAGCGUCCUUCACAUGUAACAGCCGAAGCUGCAAUUUGAAUUUUCCUGCCAACGUGAGGAAGCCGGGAUUCGAACCGGGGAGACAAAAGGGGUCCCGAACAUGUCCUUGGAUUUAAUAGAUGGUCGGAAAUCAGGGGCAGCGGAGCUGUUAAAUGCGUCACGCACGCUUCUUCGCAGUCUCCUGAGCUCGCCACUUCCCCCAGCUUCUAGUGAACGACUUGGGAUUCAGCCUCCGGGAGGGUCUCUCCUCAAGUCGCUAAAAUGCAGAAUCGCCGUGCCGGGGGAGGGAGGCCUGGCUCUUUCCCGCU